UCUCCUCUCCCCUCUGCCUGAGUCCAGCUGCUCCUGCCCUGUCUCCUCUCCCCUCUGCCUGAGUCCAGCUGUUCCUGCCCUGUCUCUUCUCCCCUCUGCCUGAGGUCAGCUGUUCCUGCCCUGUCUCCUCUCCCCUCUUCAGCCCUUCUUAGAUGAUCUGUCUGGAAUUCUCUCAAAGGACAAACUCUUCCAUGGUUCCAGUCUCAUCUUAGAUCCUGUGAUGAUGAGUAUGUGGAAAUACUAGACGGACCUCCUUGUUCUAAGAGCCUUGCUAAGAUUUGUGAGGGCUUCAGUUCAAUCUUUGAAACAUCUGCCAAUUUUGCCACAAUCAAGUAUUUCAGAGAAAGCUACCACUCACCCUCUUUCUUUGCAUGUUUAAGGCUGACCAUCCUCAGUCCAAGGCCAGCCACGUAGCAUGGUGGGACUACAACCUGAAAUAAGCUUGAGCCAAAGUUCUCCUGGAAGAGCUUUGGGUGAGGGGUCCUGAGUGGGACCCAAGGCCCUUCUAAAACAUACGUGGGAACUAUCACAGUGUUCAGACCUGAGGGGUAGGGGGACCAAAGAGAGAAACUAUUUUCUGUAUUAUUCUUGCUGUCGUGUUGGUGCAGUAUAUAUCUGUCUCUUAGAAGGUUUCUUGACAUAUGGAUAGAAAUACAUGUAAUAAAAGACUUCUCACUCAUGGAGA